UAGCAGCAGCAGUAACAGCUACCUGCAGGCUGCAGGGAAGAAAGAAAAGAAAAGAAAGAAAGCAAGGAAGAAAACAGGAAAGAAAAGAAAAGAAGAAAGAAAGAAAAGAAAGAAAACAGGGAAAGAAAAAGAAAACCUGCAGGCUGCAGGGAAAGGAAAAAAAGAAAGAAAGGAAAAGAUGAGAAGAAAAAAAAUGAAAGAAAGGGAAAUGAUAGAGAGAAAAAUGGAAUUGAAGUAUUUGGAUAGUUUUUAUUAACUGUUUUGAGGCUCUUAGGCUAAUAAGAAUUGAAUUACGCUAUGUAAUUGUGAAAAUUGCAUUGAAAAGGGGUUUUUAUAGAAACUGA
rnacentral:lncRNA from 1 species